rnacentral:misc_RNA from 1 species
AACGCAAAUUGCACUCUCUGGCAACCCGGGGAGUAUGCCUGUUUGAGGGUCAGUGUUAAUAAAAAUCGGUGCGUUGCAAUUUUUUUUUGUGAUGUUUCCGGAGUUUGAGUUAUCUUAAUUAACUCUUUUGGGUUUUUAAGAGGCUUAAAAUUGACCUUUUUUUGUGCAUUUUAGACGUACAUAAAUUUUUUUUUUAUUCGUCCAUCUUAAUGCCAAAAUCUAUUAGAUGCGACCAUAUCAUGUGGUUUCGUGUCCAUAAAUUUUUCAUGAUUUGACCUCAAAUCAGGUAGGAACACCCGCUGAACUUAA